UCAGCCUUGAAUCACUUAGCUGGGUCCUACAUACACAAAAAAAAAUUAACAUCCAGAUUGUUAAAAGAAAGCGAAAGAGGUUUGGCAUUUUGACACCAAACACUGAUAGUUGUGUGAUCACAUGUGUGAGUCUUUCCUGUGGAAAGGAAUGCAGAACUAGCGGAGUUCUUGUGGCUACUGAACUGGAGCACAAACUGUGGUAUCUGAGACCUAAAAGCAGCAGUGACUGAACAUGGAAUUAAAACAAACAAAACGGAGACCCUCCCAAUUUUGCAUCAAGUGGCGAAUGCAGAGCAGGCUGCAAUCAAAUGCUAUAAAGGAAUCAUCUGAGCAACUCAAGCCCUAGAGUGAAGGCUAUAAACCACUAGUGUUUAGUGACCAUCUGCACCAGUAGUUCCAUUAUCUGUGGCUGGAGAUUGAUUUUCCUUUUCCUUGCAUGUUCACUUACCCCAAUGCCCCAGAGUGUGCAAUGGAGCCAGCAGCAUAUAAUGCAAAGACAGCUUUUAAGGCAUCAAAAGUGAAAGCAUCAGGAGUAUCAUUAUAUUCUGCAUCUUUUGUAGUGGCUUUUUGUCUAAUCCUAUUGUAACCAGAGUCCACUGAUGGUGGCUAGGCCCCUCCUUUAUGAAGCUUAAGUGCAGAGCUCAGAAGAGCUCUGCUUUCCUCAGAGGAAGGUAAAAAAGUCUGCUUCGUAUCCCCCUUUAUGAAGAAGGUUCAGUUUUAUGUGCACCAAUUUCAUAUCAAUUUCAUACAGGACCAGUAACCCAGAAGGCAACAGAGGAAAGUAAUCCAGGUUUGGAGGCUGGGAACCAGCAGAAGGUUGUUUGAGAGUUCGAGACCUCAACAACUCUUUUUAGUUG